CCUACGGGUGGCAGCAGUGAGGAAUAUUGGUCAAUGGACGAGAGUCUGAACCAGCCAAGUAGCGUGAAGGAUGACUGCCCUAUGGGUUGUAAACUUCUUUUAUAUGGGAAUAAAAUGUUCCACGUGUGGGAUUUUGUAUGUACCAUAUGAAUAAGGAUCGGCUAACUCCGUGCCAGCAGCCGCGGUAAUACGGAGGAUCCGAGCGUUAUCCGGAUUUAUUGGGUUUAAAGGGAGCGUAGGUGGAUUGUUAAGUCAGUUGUGAAAGUUUGCGGCUCAACCGUAAAAUUGCAGUUGAAACUGGCAGUCUUGAGUACAGUAGAGGUGGGCGGAAUGCGUGGUGUAGCGGUGAAAUGCUUAGAGAUCACGAAGAACUCCGAUUGCGAAGGCAGUUCACUGGACUGCAACUGACACUGAGGCUCGAAAGUGUGGGUAUCAAACAGGAUUAGAUACCCGGGUAGUC
rnacentral:rRNA from 1 species